rnacentral:rRNA from 1 species
GCGCCCUUCGGGGUGAGCGGCGGACGGGUUAGUAACGCGUGGGAACGUGCCCAGAUCUAAGGAAUAGCCACUGGAAACGGUGAGUAAUACCUUAUACGCCCUUCGGGGGAAAGAUUUAUCGGAUUUGGAUCGGCCCGCGUUAGAUUAGGUAGUUGGUGGGGUAAUGGCCUACCAAGCCUACGAUCUAUAGCUGGUUUUAGAGGAUGAUCAGCAACACUGGGACUGAGACACGGCCCAGACUCCUACGGGAGGCAGCAGUGGGGAAUCUUGGACAAUGGGGGCAACCCUGAUCCAGCCAUGCCGCGUGAGUGAUGAAGGCCUUAGGGUCGUAAAGCUCUUUCGCCUGUGAUGAUAAUGACAGUAGCAGGUAAAGAAACCCCGGCUAACUCCGUGCCAGCAGCCGCGGUAAUACGGAGGGGGUUAGCGUUGUUCGGAAUUACUGGGCGUAAAGCGCGCGUAGGCGGAUUAGUCAGUUAGAGGUGAAAUCCCAGGGCUCAACCCUGGAACUGCCUUUAAUACUGCUAGUCUUGAGUUCGAGAGAGGUGAGUGGAAUUCCGAGUGUAGAGGUGAAAUUCGUAGAUAUUCGGAGGAACACCAGUGCCGAAGGCGGCUCACUGGCUCGAUACUGACGCUGAGGUGCGAAAGUGUGGGGAGCAAACAGGAUUAGAUACCCUG